ACAUAGUUUGUAGUCGAGGCCUUAUCAGUUAUAGAGAAGGCUAUACGGUUGAGCAGGCAAGCGGCGUAGGCGUGUCGCCGAGGCAAUAAGCCUUACGGGGGCCAAAACUGUCAUUUCACUUGCUCCAUGAAUUUAAAAUUUUCCUAAACCCCAGCCAGCCACCACACCGGAAACUUCAGUUACAUCUCGCUCGCUAAUUCUCCUCCGGCGCCUUUCCGAUGAGUUCUCAAUCAAGGGGACACAAUGGUGAAAAUAAUGGUAUGCAUCCAAUGGAUCCUGGACAACCAGUCAUUGAUGUAGCCCCUCUCCGUUGUGUGCCAUACACUGGUCCUCUUCCAACAUCCAACCGUGAUGCUUCUCUAUCUGGACCUAACGCAGCUUCAUUCUCAAUGGAAAAUGCUCAAUCUUCUACAAACGCCAGCCCUCAGCCUGCAAUGGUUUAUUAUACUAUUACAACUCUUGAAGAGAGGGCCAGUCUCUUUGCUGCCACCUGUGGUCAAUCCAAAGUAGGAAGUUUGCUUACUGGAACUGCUGUAAUGGGGAAAGUGGGACCUCCUAUAGGAGCGGUAGAUAUUUUGGAGUCUGAUACCGAAUACUUUUUUCGUGUCUCACUUCCUGGUGUUGCAAAAGAUGCAGAAAACUUUCGCUGUAACAUUGAACCUAGCGGGAAGGUAGAUAUAAAGGGUAUAACAUUGACUGGAGUGCGAGCAGUUUACAAAAAUAACAUGGUAUUCAAGAUGAACACACCGAAUCUGUGCCCACCAGGAAAGUUCACCAUUUCAUUUCAGCUUCCUGGCCCAACUGCAAAUCAAUUUUUAACCACAUUUGGAUCUGAUGGAAUUUUUGAAGCAUCUGUGAAGAAAGGACAGCCAAACAAUUCUUGAUUUGCAGUGGAGCCGAGCUGUCCUUUGGAUUGGAAACCUUUUCCUCGGUACGUUUGGCUUCAGCAGAUGGACAAGGACAAGGAAAAGAAAAAGAGUUGGAACUACAUUGUGGAGAAAAGUCAUUGUUCCUUUUGAAUGUAUGUUUUGAAAGAUGAUAUCCUCAUUCCUCAGUGUUGUUGUAGAAACCCUUUGAAUUUUUAUUCAGACAAUUUGCAAAAAUUUCGAGUAAUUUCCAUUUUCCCAGCCUAAA